rnacentral:tRNA from 1 species
GUCCAGGGUAGCCUAGCGGUCAUGGCAUCUGCCCGGUAAGCGGAAGGUCGUGGGUUCGAUUCCCAUCCCAUCCC